rnacentral:rRNA from 1 species
AAUUUUGGACAAUGGGGGAGACCCUGAUCCAGCAAUGCCGCGUGCGGGAUUAAGGCCUCCGGUUUGUAAACUGCUUUUGUACGGAACGAAAAGUCUUGGGCUAAUACCCUGGGAUCAUGACGGUACCGUAAGAAUAAGCACCGCCUACCUACGUGCCAGCAGCCGUGGUAAUACGUAGGGUGCAAGCGUUAAUCGGAAUUACUGGGCGUAAAGCGUGCGCAGGCGGUUUUGUAAGACAGUGGUGAAAUCCCCGGGCUCAACCUGGGAACUGCCAUUGUGACUGCAAGGCUGGAGUGCGGCAGAGGGGGAUGGAAUUCCGCGUGUAGCAGUGAAAUGCGUAGAUAUGCGGAGGAACACCGAUGGCGAAGGCAAUCCCCUGGGCCUGCACUGACGCUCAUGCACGAAAGCGUGGGGAGCAAACAGG